rnacentral:rRNA from 1 species
UAGUUAUGAUCUUUAAACCUAAAAAACUUGGCGGUGUUUUAGUCUGUUUAGAGGAAUUUGCUUCUUUAUCGAUAAUCCUCGUUUUAUCUUACUUUAAUAUGUUUAGUUUGUAUAUCGCCGUUAUAAGUUUAUUUUUUUAGAAUUAUUAAAAUUUACUAUAUUUUUUAUUAAAAAUUAUUUCAGGUCAAGGUGCAGCUUAUAUUAAAGUGAUAGUGAAUUACAUUAUUAUUUGAAUAUAUGAAUUUAAAUUUUAAAUUUUUAAUGAAAGUGGAUUUAAUUGUAAUUUUAUUUAUAAUGAUAUUUUGAUUUUAGCUCUAAGAUAAGUACACAUCGCCCG